UACGGAAGGCAGCAGUGGGGAAUAUUGCACAAUGGGCGCAAGCCUGAUGCAGCCAUGCCGCGUGUAUGAAGAAGGGCCUUCGGGUUGUAAAGUACUUUCAGUCGUGAGGAAGGUGUUAAGGUUAAUAACCUUAGCAAUUGACGUUAGCGACAGAAGAAGCACCGGCUAACUCCGUGCCAGCAGCCGCGGUAAUACGGAGGGUGCGAGCGUUAAUCGGAAUUACUGGGCGUAAAGGGCACGCAGGCGGUUAAUUAAGUUGGAUGUGAAAUCCCCGGGCUUAACCUGGGAAUGGCAUUCAAGACUGGUUAGCUAGAGUCUUGUAGAGGGGGUAGAAUUCCAUGUGUAGCGGUGAAAUGCGUAGAGAUGUGGAGGAAUACCGGUGGCGAAGGCGGCCCCUGGGACAAAGACUGACGCUCAUGUGCGAAAGCGUGGGGAGCAAACAGGGAUUAGAUACC
rnacentral:rRNA from 1 species